AGUAAGAAAAUUGGUCAAGUCCUUCAAUAAGAAUGAAGGAUUCUUUUAUAUCCAAAGCUGUAAUUGUUUAUUUGCUUUAUUAAUAGCCAUGUGAGUUGGUGUUAAUCCAGGGAAAUGGAUUUUGCCAAGUGGACUAACAAGAUUUUCUGUGAAUAGUUUGAAAAAACCAUGACCAGGUGAAAGCUACUUUCUUUCAACAAG
rnacentral:misc_RNA from 1 species